CGGUAACCUACCCUCGGGAGGGGGAUAACCCCGGGAAACUGGGGCUAAUUCCCCAUAGGCCUGAGGUACUGGAAGGUCCUCAGGCCGAAAGGGACUUAUGUCCGCCCGAGGAUGGGCCGGCGGCCGAUUAGGUAGUUGGUGGGGUAAUGGCCCACCAAGCCGAAGAUCGGUACGGGCUGUGAGAGCAGGAGCCCGGAGAUGGACACUGAGACACGGGUCCAGGCCCUACGGGGCGCAGCAGGCGCGAAACCUCCGCAAUGCGGGAAACCGCGACGGGGGGACCCCGAGUGCCGUGGCAACGCCACGGCUUUUCCGGAGUGUAAAAAGCUCCGGGAAUAAGGGCUGGGCAAGGCCGGUGGCAGCCGCCGCGGUAAUACCGGCGGCCCGAGUGGUGGCCGCUAUUAUUGGGCCUAAAGCGUCCGUAGCCGGGCCCGUAAGUCCCUGGCGAAAUCCCACGGCUCAACCGUGGGGCUUGCUGGGGAUACUGCGGGUCUUGGGACCGGGAGAGGCGGGGGGUACCCCUGGGGUAGGGGUGAAAUCCUAUAAUCCCAGGGGGACCGCCAGUGGCGAAGGCGCCCCGCUGGAACGGGUCCGACGGUGAGGGACGAAGGCCAGGGGAGCAAACCGGAUUAGAUACCCGGGUAGUCCUGGCUGUAAAGGAUGCGGGCUAGGUGUCGGGUGAGCCUCGAGCUCGCCCGGUGCCGUAGGGAAGCCGUU
rnacentral:rRNA from 1 species